rnacentral:rRNA from 1 species
AACCUUUAGUCACAAACCAGUAUUAAAGGCGACGCCUGCCCAGUGAACAAUUUAACGGCCGCGGUACCCUAACCGUGCAAAGGUAGCGUAAUCACUUGCCUAUUAAUUGUAGGCCUGUAUGAAAGGCAAAACGAGGGCCUAACUGUCUCUUAUAGUAAAUCAAUUAAACUGAUCUCCCAGUCCAAAAGCUGGAAUACUAACAUAAGACCAGAAGACCCUGUGAAGCUUAAACUAAACUAUUAAACCCAAUAAUAGCUCCUUUCGGUUGGGGCGACCUUGGAAAAAAAAAGAACUUCCAAACAUACUGAGCCUACACUCAUAAUCAUAGGCCAACAAGCCUAACAACGACCCAGCACAGCUGAUAAUUGAACCAAGUUACUCCAGGGAUAACAGCGCUAUCUUCUUCAAGAGCCCAUAUCAAAAAGAAGGUUUACGACCUCGAUGUUGGAUCAGGACAUCCUAAUGGUGCAGCCGCUAUUAAGGGUUCGUUUGUUCAACGAUUAACAGUCCU